CGCCUCAUAUUUACUAAUUUUUGUAGCACCAGUAACUAGUAAAAACAUAAACAUACGCACAGACUGGCCGUGUGAGCAAGGAUGAUCCCAAAUCUCAAGAAUGAAUCUGAUAAACUACUGUCUGUGAAAGUAACUACACAACUGGCAGUCAAAUUCAGCACUGGCAUUAGUCAUGAUUAUCAGCUAUAAAUGAGAAUCACAACAAUGCACUAUAUGGGUACCGAAAUGUGUCCAGGAAGUUCCCCUCGGCUGAUAAGAUAGAGCUUAUCAGAUACUCUCAUAUGUACAUCACCGGCUGAACUAAACAUAUUGGCUUAGUUCGUGACCGAAGUGAUGAAUUUCAAAAUACACCAGGAGCGCGCACUCUGCCUGCCGUUUACAGCUAGGAACAUCUGGAAAUAAAAAAUCGCUCCGCUGUUUGCCUUAGUUUAUCAGUAAUUGAAUUGGCUCUAUGCCGUGCUAAUUGUCGAAGAUACAAAUGGCCGAUAGCGAUAGCGAAAGUUGAACACCUGGCACACACUGUAGACAUGGUCGGGUGAAUUUAUAUAGCAAGAGCAUGACUCUUUCGAAAUAGGAAUGACCCUUCAGAAAAGAACAUCUCACAAUACCAACACAGAGUUAGAAUACAGAUAACGAGCGAAAAUUAAAUUCAAGCAUCUUGGAAAUACGCAAUCAACAGAUUAUAUUCAAGAAGAGUUUUUCAUUUCUUCCGGAACAAAUAUCGUUAAACUAACGGGGAUGCACUUAUUUCUGGGGAAGU